CUGUUGGUUUCUGAUUUCCCUCACUGAGCAGCAACUGCAGUCACAAGACAUUGUUUUACAUUCCACAGUCUGUACUGUUGGAGUUUCUCACGGGAAAGGGAGACUGGAUGUGACGUACACUGGUUUCCUGUUUUUUCACUGUGUGAUUCUCUCCGAGCUGAGAGAGGAGAGAGGAUGCAUUUUCUGCUCUUGCAGAGGCAAGAUGUCUUUCUGUAAUAUACCAGCUUUGAACUGUAAAUAAAGCAAUAUAGAGUAUGUAGCACGUAUUACUCAUCCUUCCGCUGGGCACGACAGGCUCUGCUUUAAAUCAACACGUGGUUAUGGACUCCAGAGGUCGAAUCGGAGUGCCGGCAAAGGAUCGGAAUGCAGAGGGACGGAUCAGAAAGGAAUCUGCUCUGCGCGUAGAAGUGAUUGAUGAGGUAUGUGCUACUGCUCCGGGCAGCCUGCCAGCUUCAAGUUAAUGGCUUUAUGGCUGGACUUUGAACUUUUAAAGCCGGUUUUGCCGGGAAUAGGCAAAAGGCUCCCAGGCACAAGUCACUAUGCUGGGGAAAUCGAAAGUAACUUUUAAGUGCGCCUUUGUAAUGAGGCAGCUGCAGCAGUGACGCAGCAAGAUUUAAAGCAGCAUAUGACGCUGAAGGCUAAUGCCAGAGUCAUGAUGGCCCUUCAGGAUGCUUGUGGGAUUCCUAAGCUCAACAAGAAAAAUUACAGCGACUGGGUUCAGUAUGCAGAGGCAAUUCUGCGGAAAGAGGGUUUGUUUGAGGUGAUUACAGAAACCCCCAGUUCCAGUUACAGAUGCAUGGGAAGCUAAGGAUUCCAAAGCAAGGGGAACUCUUACAUUGAUAGUAUCCCCAGAAGAGCUCUGUCUAUUGCGUGAUAAGACCUCAGCCAGAGAAGUUUGGGACGCUCUGAGAGAGGCUCACUUAAGGACAGAAGCUGGAUCCACUAUGUUUUAUUUUAACAAGCUGCACAAUAUGGCUCUUGCUGAAGGUGGAGAUGUGCGUUUACAUCUGAUGCAGAUGCAAAAUCUGAGACAUGAGCUGCAACAGAGAGGACUCAACUUUCCAGAGGCUGUGUAUUCUUUCAUGAUACUACAAUCUUUGGGUUCAGGUUGGGAGUCUGUUGCAACCCAGAUUGCUGUGCAACCAACUGCUCAGCUGACAGUGGACUUUGUUACUGCCGUGAUUUUAAAUGAAGCAGAUCGCCGGGUGCUAGCUGCAUGGGCAAGGGGAGUCUUCACAGACGUCAUCCCAUAGUGCAGUGGAACCACCAGAUGGCGCCAAAGCUUUGAAGGCAGUGAAAUGCCACUCGUGUGGACGUCUAGGCCAUAUGAAGAGGGAAUGCAGACAUCCCAGGGCCAAGACAGAGCAGCGCAGCGAAAGCUCAUCGCGCGGAAAAGGCCGAGGCAAAGGCAAAGGUCCGGUGUCUAGGACAACGCAGCACAAGGCUAUGGUUUCACGCUUCACUCCAAAGGUUGCAGAGGUCCAGAAGACGUCUAGAUCUUUCUUCGUUGUUGAUUCAGCGGCCACCCACCACAUGUGCAACGAUAAGAAACUGUUUGUGUCUUUUACACCGCAGGAAGGUGCGAUUCACCAGGCGGAUGACCACACUAUUCCCAGUAAAGGCUACGGAACUGUUGUUCUUCACAGUUUGGACUUAUCGAUACAGAAUGUGCUUUACGUGCCAGACGCCAAACAUAAUCUGCUCAGCGUUGGACAGCUGAAUGAGCGGAACAUUGACGUUUCCUUCAAGAACAAGAAGUGCAUCAUCACAAAGAAAAAUGAUUAUGUAUUGCAUGCAGAAUAUGUUGAUCAUUUGUUUGUUUUGUAUUAUGAUGAUGUGGUGCAGGAUGACACUUGUUGCAUUGCAGGUUCUAACAAAAGUUUGCAUGCAGAAUGUAUUCACGAUUUUCAUCGCAAAUUUGGUCAUUUGCAUUUUGAGGCAGUAUCUAAAAUGCCUGCCUUGGUUGAAGGUAUGACUAUUAAACCCUGCAGGUACCACAUGAAGUGCAAAGCAUGCGCAGCAAACAAGGUGAAAAUGGCUGCGAAAGGUAAGGUGUCUAGUAGGAAAGCUACAGAACCAUACCAGGUUGUUCAUGCUGAUUUGGUUGGACCACUUGCGCCCUCUUUGGGUGGAAAUAGAUACUUCAUGGUUCUCAUUGAUGCAUUUUCUAGAUAUAUUUUUGUGUACAAUCUCAAGCAGAAAUCGGAGGCUUUUCCUAGGUUCAAGGAAUUCUGUGCUUGGUUGGAAAAUGUGCAUGGUAAGAAGAUAAAGACUCUUUUCAGUGAUCGCGGGGGGGGAAUUCACUUCUCAGCAGUUUGAAGCUUUUCUGACUGAGAAAGGAAUUCAACACGAUUUGUCUAGUCCUCGCUCGCCAUGGCAGAAUGGACUUGCGGAACGGGCAAAUCAGACAUUGCUUCAAGGAUUAAAAACCUUGCUGCAUGAUGCCAAUCUUCCAGAGAGUUAUUGGGCCGAAUCUCUCUCGUGUUUUGUUUACAGUUACAAUCGCAGGUUAUCUUCAGCGAUUGGUUGUACCUCUAUGAGAAGAUGUUUGGCAAGAAGCCAUACAUCAAACACAUGAAGAUUUUUGGUUCUGACAUGUGGGUUCGCUCACCACAAAACUCCAAGUUAGACAAGCGUGGAUUGCAUGGUAUCUUUCUAGGUUAUCAGAAAGGGUCUUACAGAAUAAUGAUGACUGACUCUAAGACAAUUAAGCUCACGAGAAGUGUUGAGUACAAUGCAAAGUGGGGGGAGAAGGUGGGAAUUUUCCAAUGUUAUCCUGAUGACGGUGAUGAGACUGAGGAUAGUCAAAAGCAACCACAACAGCCCACACCCACUGAUGAAGGUUCUGAGUCUGAAUCUGAAACUGAAUCGGGUGAUUCAGAGGAUUUCAAGAGUGCGAAAGCCUCUAUGCGACCCUCUGAAAGCUCUGAUCAAGAAUUGGAGGAACCAUUGUUCACAAUAGGUCGUUUUUCUCCUAAGAAGGAAGAGGAGAGUGUUGAAGACUUAAGGCUAAUUCGUAGGUCACAGAGAGCCACAAAAGGCAAACCUCCAAAGAGAUUUGCUGAUGAGUUUGCUAAGAUAGCAGUAACAGCUGUUAAAAGCUCCAAGAAGGUAUUUGAACCUUCAAGUUUCCAAGAAAUCCAGGGUUUGGAUUCAAAGGAAGCUGAGCCAUGGUUAAAUGCCAUGAAGGCUGAGCUUGAUUCCUUAGAAAGGAACAAAACAUGGGAGCUAGUUCCAGUAGUUCCAGGAAUGAAACUGCUUGGAAGCAAAUGGGUCUUCAAAGCGAAGACAGAUCAAAAUGGCAAGAUAGUCAGACACAAAGCCAGAUUGGUAGCCAGAGGUUUUGCACAGGUACCAGGUGAAGACUAUCACGAGACCUAUUCACCCACAGUGAGAUAUGAAAGCAUUAGGCUUAUGCUCAAGCUAGCUGCAGAGGAAAAUCUACACAUUAGUCACCAUGAUAUUAAUACAGCUUUUCUGUACGGAUCUCUAGAUGAAUCACUUUAUAUGCUUCCACCUGAUGGCGUACAGGUAAAACAGGGAUUUGUUUGUGCUCUGAAGAAAUCCCUUUAUGGUCUCAAACAAAGUGCACGGUGUUGGCACACAAAACUCACUGAAGUAUUGUUUUCUCUAGGUUUUCAGCAAGGGAAAGCUGAUCCAUGUGUAUUUGUCAAAGAGGAGGGGCAAAAGAAACUGUACUGUUUGUUUUAUGUUGAUGAUUUAUUAUUCUUUUGGAAAGAUGUUGCAAUGUACAAUAGCGCCCUAGCUCAACUGAAAGAGCACUUUGACAUGAAAGAUCUUGGUGAGGUAAACAACUACCUAUCUCUGGAAAUAGAGAGAGAUCAAGAUGGUAACAUUCUAGUACACCAGUCACGGAAAAUUGCUGAUGUGUUAAGCAAACUAAAUCUGAUGGAUGCUAACCCUGUAGACACACCGAUGACAACAGGUUAUCAGGUAGAUGACACUGAAGAAGCAUUUUCUGACACUACACUGUACAGGAGUGUGCUAGGCAAGCUAAACUUCAUUGCCAGAUGUUCAAGACCAGACAUUGCUGUUAGCUGUAAUUUGCUAAGCAGACAAGUCAACAAUCCUAGUGUCAAGGAUUGGAAAGCUCUGAAACGCAUCGCGCGGUAUUUGAAAGGCACUAUGCAUUACAGACUGAGAUUUAACAAUCAGAAGUCUGGUGGUCUUGAGAUAUUUGCAGAUGCAAGUUUUGGAAGUGACGCUACAGACAGGAAAAGUACGUCUGGAGUUUGCUACAUGUACAAUCAGAGUCUGUUUGAUUGGUCAUGCAAGAAGCAAACAACAGUUAGCUUAAGUACUUGUGAAGCUGAACUGAAUGCACUGUCUUAUUCACUUAAGGAUUGUGAAUGGUUAGUACAAUUGUGCAAAGAUAUGAAAAUUCCUGUCAAAUGUCCAAUCCAGGUUUACCAGGACAACAAAGCAUGUUUGGCUUUGCUGAAGUCUGAAGGUUGUAAGCAAAGCACAAAGCACUUGCAAUUAAAGUUGCAGCAUGCUAGGGAAUGUAUUCAGAAGGGACUCGUAACGGUGUCCUAUAUGCCAGGUAAUGAAAUUCCUGCUGAUGUAUUGUCCAAGAUUGUAUCAAGGGAUCAACACUGUACCUAUGUGCAGAAGUUGGGUUUGUACUGAUACUGUACGAACACGCUGCCCAGUGAUGUUCACAGAAAGGGGGAGGAUGUUGGUUUCUGAUUUCCCUCACUGAGCAGCAACUGCAGUCACAAGACAUUGUUUUACAUUCCACAGUCUGUACUGUUGGAGUUUCUCACGGGAAAGGGAGACUGGAUGUGACGUACACUGGUUUCCUGUUUUUCACUGUGUGAUUCUCUCCGAGCUGAGAGAGGAGAGAGGAUGCAUUUUCUGCUCUUGCAGAGGCAAGAUGUCUUUCUGUAAUAUACCAGCUUUGAACUGUAAAUAAAGCAAUAUAGAGUAUGUAGCACGUAUUACUCAUCCUUCCGCUGGGCACGACAGGCUCUGCUUUAAAUCAACA
rnacentral:lncRNA from 1 species